UACGUAGGGGGCUAGCGUUGUCCGGAAUCAUUGGGCGUAAAGAGCGCGUAGGCGGCCAGAUAAGUCCGGUGUGAAAGUCAAAGGCUCAACCUUUGAAUGCCGCUGGAAACUGUCUGGCUAGAGUCCGGAAGGGGCGAGUGGAAUUCCUGGUGUAGCGGUGAAAUGCGCAGAUAUCAGGAGGAACACCAAUGGCGAAGGCAGCUCGCUGGAACGGUACUGACGCUGUGGCGCGAAAGCGUGGGGAGCGAACAGG
rnacentral:rRNA from 1 species